GAUGAACGCUGGCGGCGUGCCUAAUACAUGCAAGUCGAGCGAACGGACGAGAAGCUUGCUUCUCUGAUGUUAGCGGCGGACGUGUGAGUAACACGUGGAUAACCUACCUAUAAGACUGGGAUAACUUCGGGAAACCGGAGCUAAUACCAGAUGAUAUUUUGAACCGCAGGGUUCAAAAGUGAAAGACGGUGUUGCGGUCACUUAUCGAUGGAUCCGCGCUGUAUUAGCUGGUUGGUAAGGUAACGGCUUACGAAGGCAACGAGGCAUAGGCGACCUGCGAGAGUGGUCGGCCACACUGGAACUGAGACACGGUCCUGACUCCUACGGGAGGCAGCAGUAGGGAAUCUUACGCAGUGGGCGAAAGCCUGGCGGAGCAACGCGGAGUGAGUGAUGACGGUCUUCGGAUCGUAAAACUCUGUUAUUAGGGAAGAACAUAUGUGUAAGUAACUGUGCACAUCUUGACGGUAACUAAUCAGAAAGCCACGGCUAACUACGUG
rnacentral:rRNA from 1 species